rfam:Salmo salar isolate Sally breed double haploid chromosome ssa29, whole genome shotgun sequence.
CCCUGUGUGGCUCAGUUGGUAGAGCAUGGUGUUUGCAAAGCCAGCGUUGUGGGUUCAAUUCCCAUGGGGG